rnacentral:rRNA from 1 species
UACGUAGGGUGCGAGCGUUGUCCGGAAUUAUUGGGCGUAAAGAGCUCGUAGGCGGUCUGUCGCGUCGAUCGUGAAAAACUUGGGGCUUAACCCUGAGCUUGCGGUCGAUACGGGCAUGACUGGAGUUCGGCAGGGGGAGACUGGAAUUCCUGGUGUAGCGGUGAAAUGCGCAGAUAUCAGGAGGAACACCGGUGGCGAAGGCGGGUCUCUGGGGCCGAUACUGACGCUGAGGAGCGAAAGCGUGGGGAGCGAACAGG